CAAGUUGUAAUGCGAACGUUUUCCAUCAUGCAAACAUUGCUGGUAAUAACAUGACAAAUGCUCCCCAUCCACGGCCACCUUAGGAAAUAAAACCUUACGGGGACACUUGGAGGCUCCUGGGUGCACUGAUCCUCCGUCUCUGUCACACAGAUGAAAAGAGUUCUGGAGAUGGAUGGUGGUGAUGGCUGUGUGACAACAUGAAUGGUGAACGUGCUUCAUGCCACCGAACCGCAGUUAAAAAUGGUUAAGAUGGAGAUAAGGAAAGGUAAUUUGGUCUGUCAGUCGCGCACACAGAAGACGUCAUGGUCAACUGCAUUAAUACUGAAUACUUUGUCCAGAGUCACAGAGCCAAAAGAAAUUACAGAGUCUUUCUCCUGUGAAUUCUGGCGUGACUCUCAGCAGACCUUUCCCCACCUGAAUUCACAAAAGAGAUGAAUAAUAAAAGGCAGGGUCUACGGUGGGACCCAGAGCUUGCCAGGCUGUGCCAGGCGAGGUGGUCGGAGCCAGCGCUUCCCUCGCACAACUGAGACCCUACAUCCGAGCCGUUCCUGGGUCCUGUUUCAGCCCAAAUCCCAGCUGUUUCCAGUGGGUCCCCGUGCCUCCCUGCCUGGGGCUGCUGCUUCUGUUCCUCUCUCCUGUGCUGUGGAAGCCCACCCAGCCGUUCUAACUGGACCCCGGCACCCUCCGCUCCUCUGACUGCACCUCUGUCUGCAGCUGUCCUGGGAACUUUGCAUUUGCAUCCUCUUUCCCUAACACCCCAGACCCGGGAUCAGCCAGGCAGCCUCCCUGCCAGUGUCCAGUCCGGGGACUGGCACCGACCGUGGAAGGGAUGAGAUCCUAAGACCUGUGCAAGUUUUCUCCUUUAUAAUCGAACAAAAGGAUGUGAACAGUGGUUUGGUUUUUUCUUUUCUUCCUUGGAAUGGGUGGUGAUGGAAGGGUGCUGUCAAGGCUGGGGUGGGCAUUGGGCUGCUCUUGAAAUCCACUGCCAAGUUGCUGAGUUGUAAGAGGCAGUCUUUACCUCCACCCCCUCCAGAAGGAGCGUCGGGGAGUCCCACACGGGAACCCUUAUCCAGGGUCUGGACAAAGCUUCUUCCCUUUGCUGCUUUUGGGGACUUUUUCGGUCUCUGGAACAGUUAGGCUUCUUUGCAACGCAGUUAUAGUCCCUCAGGUAAUGAGUACUUCAUUAUUUUUAGGCUGCUUUACCCAAUUAAUUUUAUCAUCAGUUAAUUACGUAUUAACAGCUUAAGAAAAUGAAUAUUUGUUCAGUUUCUUAAACUAAGUCAUUAUGUAUAUAUUUAUUCCUUUUUAAAGAUGCAUGUCCAUUACCUCCUGCAGAUGGAGAAGACCUGUCUGGGGCCACCUGGACCUCUGAAACAAGACCUUUCCACAAAGGUGCCUUCUGGACUGUAUGGGCUGGGCUCACGGGGCUGGGGGGACCCGGUACGAGAGGUCCACAGCAUGUGGCAGAGAGCAGGCGUCGCGGGUGACAGGGGAAGGUCUCCGCCAAACCGCUGCUGCUUGGCAGUAUCUGGGGCGAGGCGAGGCGGGUGCAGCCAAGAGCCAAGUGCGUGAGGGCGUGUGAAGAUGAAAGCAGCAGCUGGGGGGUUGCGGCUACAGGAACAAGGUCCUCUGGCCACUGCUGGGUGGUUUGGGGAAAGCCUCUCGGGUCACAGCACACCUGGUCCCCUGGGACCCAGACUCACCAAGGUGUGUGAGCUGGGGCCCGUCGGGAGGCUUAAGCAGUCUCAGCUCCUGGGUCUGUAGUAGGUACAGCCAUGCAGUGCUCUUCUUAUUCUGGCAUGCCGCGAGCCCGUGGAUCACCGGAAGUUGGCCCAGUCUCUGAUUCACGUAGUGGGGGCAGGCGAAGGCCAAGGCUGCCGUUCCAGCUCCAAGACCCAGAGUCAGGGGGGAGAUGCAACUUCCUUCCAGUGCCCCCUGUGGAUGGAGGCGCCCAGCAACCGUCUACACCAGGAGUCAGCAAACUGAGGCCUGUGGGCCAGAUCCUGCCAGGUUCCUAUUUUUGUACGACUUGAGAGCUAAGAAUGACUUCUACACUGUGAAGUAGUUUGGAAAACUCAAAAGAAGAAUAAUAUCGUGUGACAUGGAAAUUAUGUGAAAUUACAGUGUCUGCAUAUAUAUGGAAUUUAGAAAGAUGGUAACGAUAACCCUAUAUGCAAAACAGAAAAAGAGACACAGAAGUACAGAACAGACUUUUGAACUCUGUGGGAGAAUGUGAGGGUGGGAUAUUUCAAAAGAACAGCAUGUAUACUAUCUAUGGUGAAACAGAUCACCAGCCCAGGUGGGAUGCAUGAGACAAGU